GGAAUAUUGCACAAUGGGGGAAACCCUGAUGCAGCGACGCCGCGUGAAGGAAGAAGUAUCUCGGUAUGUAAACUUCUAUCAGCAGGGAAGAAAAUGACGGUACCUGACUAAGAAGCUCCGGCUAAAUACGUGCCAGCAGCCGCGGUAAUACGUAUGGAGCAAGCGUUAUCCGGAUUUCCUGGGUGUAAAGGGAGCGCAGGCGGCAUGGCAAGUCAGAUGUGAAAGCCCGGGGCUCAACCCCGGGACUGCAUUUGAAACUGUCAGGCUGGAGUGCAGGAGAGGCAGGCGGAAUUCCUAGUGUAGCGGUGAAAUGCGUAGAUAUUAGGAGGAACACCAGUGGCGAAGGCGGCCUGCUGGACUGUAACUGACGCUGAGGCUCGAAAGCGUGGGGAGCAAACA
rnacentral:rRNA from 1 species